rnacentral:lncRNA from 1 species
AUGUUUGCAAUGCUUCAGAAUAGAACAUUUGUUUUCAAUGGUUAAGAAUGGACCAAUUAGGAAAUGCCUAUGUAGCUUAUACAUUAUGAAACGCUGUUAAUGAAAAUUUGAAUAUUCAAACCUCUCACCAAUUAUUCCACAGAAGCAUGGAAAUGAUAUGAACUGAUGAAAAAGAUACUGGAGCUCCUUUAAAGAAUGCUAUCACACCAUAAGUGGAAGUACUGUGGUAGAAGAGAGACUAUAAAAUAUUAAUGGACUAUUGACCUGAGGUAGCAAAGGAAGAUAAAAGCAAAUUAUCUGAGUGCAUGAAGAAGCUGCCUGUCUCCACGGUGUGGAAAGAACUUCAAUAUAACAACAGUAAUCUCAAAUAUAGUAUUCUUGUUAAAGUAAACUGCAAAUCAAGAAGGCAUCUACUCAGCAGAGAAUUGUCUCAUAAACUUUUACAUCGUGAUGAUCAGAAAUGAUUAGCAUUACUUCCCAGUUUUUAUAAAUCAGGUAAUAUUUAUUUCAAUAUUUAUUCAAUAGAGCUAAACACAGUUGCUUGUUUUUAAGGGUGUGUGUGUGUGUGUGUGUGUGUGUGUAAAAUUUCACCCAAUAAACACUGCAUUUCUAGCUUAGAAAAUGUAAUAACCAGUUGUUUUCUUUCUCUCAGCUAAGACAACACAUUUCCAUUUAAUUAAAGUCUCAAACAUGGCCUGAGUUCACACUAGAAUUGCGAUGUUUGCUAACUAAAUAAAUGGAUUUGCUGGCAUCUAGCAUCAUCACAAUAGUUUGUAGGUCGACUUCUCUUUUGGCAGAAAAUCCCUGGAAUUUCAAAACCGUGAUUCCUAUGUUUAAAUGCAAAAGUGCUAGCUAAAAUAAAGGGUCAAAAUAAGACAGAUUAACUGUUUUAUUUCUCCUUCAUAUUUUAGUUAAAAUGAUGUAACACACGUUUCCUGUUUUCAG